UACAGAGGGUGCAAGCGUUAAUCGGAAUUACUGGGCGUAAAGCGUGCGCAGACGGUUGCGUAAGUCAGAUGUGAAGGCCCCGGGCUCAACCUGGGAAUUGCAUUUGAGACUGCGUAGCUAGGGUGCGGAAGAGGGAAGCGGAAUUUCCGGUGUAGCAGUGAAAUGCGUAGAUAUCGGAAGGAACACCAGUGGCGAAAGCGGCUUCCUGGUCCAGCACCGACGUUCAGGCACGAAAGCGUGGGGAGCAAACAGG
rnacentral:rRNA from 1 species